ACUGUGAACAGAACUAUUCAUGCAUACCAACGAAUAAAGUACAUUGAUGUUCUGCAUGUGCGAAUAUCUUGUUACAAUGUGAAUAAUUUAAAGAAACGUAAAAUCUUCUUUUAGAUGUUUUGCAUCUGUUGUCUAUAAUUUAAGAAAUAUAUCCAAAAUAUAAAUCCAAAUUAUAGUGGUAUACAAAACAUAAGACAUAAGUAGUUAGAAUAGUGGAAAACCAUUAAAAUAAUUACUAUACUUAAAAUUAUCAAAAUAUAGCAAACAAUAAAAAUAUUAAAAUUUGUUAUUCGCACAUACUUGAUUAACAUGUUAUACUAAAUAUAGUAACACAUUAUAACACUGCCUAAUAUUAAAUAAAUAUUAUGCCCAAUAUUGUAACAGACCACGCAUUACAUUAAUAUUCACUAAGGCUCGGCAAUCAAUGAGAGCAAUUUUGAUUGAAAAGAUAUCGUAAUCAGUUCUACGCUUGUAUUUUUGAUAAAAGUGAGAUAAAGUAGCACAGAUUUGCCAAAACCUUUCCCUCUUCAUACUUGGCAGCGUUUCGUAUAUACAUAUGUAUAUCAAUCAACGACCGUGUUCAGAAGUUUUUUUUUUGAUUUCUUAUAGUUUGUACAGUUUAUAUUGAAAUGGUUUGUGUUAUAUAAAUUAAAAUGUUAAAGAUAUCGUACAACAUCCUGAACGCGUUCGACAAGGCGUUAGGACCAAGCAAACAAGCAGAGUCAUGCAAAUGCAAUCUUCACAUGCAUCAAUUCUCUACUUGCUUUAUUACGUACCUCAUAAUGUUUGUAUCUAUAUCUCAUAUUAUUACAACUUAUCAUAUCAAAAAUAAGAUGUCAAAACAUAAAUAAGAUAUUAAAACGAUACUAGUUCUUCAUAUAUUUUAAUAUCGAAUAAUGUGUUUAUCGCAUUAUUUUAUCGUACUUUUUAAUUAACAUUUUGCUAUAUGAGAAAAUAGGUAUUAGGUAUUAUUCACAAAAUGAAAUUAUAAACGAUAUGAUUUUGUAUACUAUCAAUUAGUGAAUUGAUAAAGUAUGGGCUUGUGUAAAAGUUCCACAAACAUGCUAAAUGUUAACAAUGCGGUUCAAUGCAAAAACAAUUUCUCAAGCUAUUGUUGGUUAAUAUAAUUGCAAAGAAAGCAAGAUUUAGAAUUUAUUUGAAAGAAUCACCUUUGCAAGCCAUUUUGGAAGGAUUAACACGGAUUAAAUCUGAAGAUAGGAGAAUGGGAACGUAACUCCAAAGAUUUUGACCAUUACAUCAAGCUUUGUUCAAUGAAAACGCACAAAUAAAAGAUAGCAUGUGAUACGAAAAUUAUUUAUCAGGAAAGUAUAUUACAUUUUGUGAACAAAAACCAAGAUACGUUACAUUAGAUUAUUAGAUACAUUAUUUAUUUUAUCAGGCAAUGUUGCAGGAAAGUCUCAUUGAAAUAUUGUCAUUCUGAAAAUCUCAAAUGAUCUUGUAAAAAUUCAAAACUUUUGUAAAACAACAGAAUUAUAUAAUUGUAAUACUCUAUAAUGAAACGUUUGAACUAAACAGUAAUUUCCUUGCACAACUUCUCAUGCACAGUAAUUAGUUUGCUUGUAACUAUGUUUGUAAAGAAACCAUUUCUUGAACAACUUCGGAUAUUUCUUAAAAUACAAUGUAGUGAAAGAAUACGUCUUUAUAUUUUAAAGAUAUAUCACUAAUCUUCAUAAUUUUUUACUUGUCACAAAUUUUAUAAUAGAUAUAUCACUGAUCUAAGAUCUUUCUGUCUAAUUAAUAUACUUUAAAUAACUGUUAAACUAACUUUUAAUGAUCUAUACCGUAAUUAGUUUCGAAAUUAUAUGAUGUAUUAUGUGAUGCA